UCGCUAUUGAACUUUGAAAACAGUGCGGCGGGGGGAAGGCGGUAAUGAAGGGUCUCGGAGGCUUAAGAUUUAGUUAAGACAAGUUAAAUUGCAGCUGAAGGAGAGAGGUCAGUAUCUUUUCAAAUCAAUCUCUCUGUCUGUCUGCCUCUGUCCCCAUCUAUUCCCUGCAAAAGGAAAAGCUCCAACUUUGUUCCUCCAUCUGCUCUGUAUCUUCUGCAAUCGGCAGUUCUUUGGAUUGCAUGCACUUUUGCUCGCGAUGGAGUGAAACUUUAAAGGUGUACAGUCACUUAUCUGAAAUAGGGAAAAAUAAAAGUCGUCCUUUCCAAUCAUAUA